rnacentral:lncRNA from 1 species
GCUCUGGUUGGCAUUUCCCACCCCCUUUUUGCAAACAGAGGCUCAUUAAGUGACUUCCCACGUCGUCGCUGCGGAGACUCACCCGCGCGCUCGCUCCGAGAAGUUGUCCUGGUGCAGCGCGCGGAGCCCGGCUCGGGCCAUUCCUAUGCGCCCCGUGUCUCGCCUCGGAAUCACAUUCCACCCAGAGACGCGGCCCCGAGAUGGGCCCGGAAUAAUUAUUGGAGGAAGAAUCAGCGGCGGUGGCGGUGGCUUCGGGUGUGACAGGAGCCUUUCUGGCGACAGACAUCAGCCUCGUGAGACUUUUUAUCUGCAUCCCCACCCCCCGGGCCUCAAGCUCAGCUCAAAAAUGCAACAACUCUGCAAGACCCAGUAAUUCGCGCUGCCCAGGUGACCUUACCUGAUCCAAAUUGCAACUUACCCCCGGGACGUUUCUGCUACAAGCCUCGUUUGCAAAAUGCCAGAGAUGCACCGUUUCCCAAGGUCGCCGGACAAUGCGCACCCCCUGCCACAUGACUUUCGGGAUCCAGAUGGGGGUCACACCAGGGUCCCCUUAUUGCUUUCCAAGGAACCCCACGGCCUGCGCGCCCUGGGG